rnacentral:misc_RNA from 1 species
CACCAAUCAAGCCUGGCUUGGUGUUGGGUGCCGUCCCGCCUCUGGCGCGCGGACGCUCCCUAAAAUCAUCGGCGGUGCAGCACCGGCUUCGAGCGCAGCAGAUGUUCGCUCUGUGGGUCUGGUGAGGCAGCGGCCGCGACGACAACCUCUA